GCUGGAAUGGCCGAGUCGUUAAGGCGAGUGAUUUGAAUUAUCAAUCAUCACUUGGGCAUUGCCCGCGUAGGUUCAAAUCCUGCUUCCAGCG